rnacentral:misc_RNA from 1 species
AAAGCAUCAAUUAUAUUCAAUGAAAACCUUAUUGUAACAAGCAUCUGCAUCCCUACUUUUCAUUGACAUAAAAUUGUACACCUCUAAAAUGGAAAUAAAGAGACAGCUCUGAUGAUAACUACCAAUUCAAUGAAUACUGAAGCUAAAACUGUUGGCAGCAGCUGCAACUGCCCCACAAAUAAUGUUUGCUCAAAACAGUACAAAGAGUCCCUUGACCUUCAGACCAAACGAAGUUGACCUAGAAAACUCGCCCUUGUGUAAGAUUUGAUGAUACACCCUUCAAUUCAAUUACCCAACUGUCAACCCAAAUCCAAAUUUGUAGUCUUUCUUCUUAUGAUCUAACUCAGCGGAAAGAAUAAAAUUGAGACCCAUAUUUAAACGCUCCUCCAAGAAGGCCGCUGC